GAUGAACGCUGGCGGCGUGCCUAAUACAUGCAAGUCGAGCGAACGGACGAGAAGCUUGCUUCUCUGAUGUUAGCGGCGGACGGGUGAGUAACACGUGGAUAACCUACCUAUAAGACUGGGAUAACUUCGGGAAACCGGAACUAAUACCGGAUGAUAUUUUGAACCGCAUGGUUCAAAAGUGAAAGACGGUCUUGCUGUCACUUAUAGAUGGAUCCGCGCUGCAUUAGCUAGUUGGUAAGGUAACGGCUUACCAAGGCAACGAUGCAUAGCCGACCUGAGAGGGGGAUAGGCCACACUGGAACUGAGACACGGUCCAGACUCCUACGGGAGGCAGCAGUAGGGAAUCUGCCGCAAUGGGCGAAAGCCUGACGGAGCAACGCCGCGUGAGUGAUGAAGGUCUUCGGAUCGUAAAACUCUGUUAUUAGGGAAGAACAUAUGUGUAAGUAACUGUGCACAUCUUGACGGUACCUAAUCAGAAAGCCACGGCUAACUACGUG
rnacentral:rRNA from 1 species